rnacentral:rRNA from 1 species
UACGGAGGGUGCAAGCAUUAAUCGGAUUUAUUGGGCGUAAAGGGCGCGUAGGCGGGGAUAACAGUCAGAUGUGAAAUCCUGAGGCUCAACCUCAGAACAGCAUUUGAAACUAUAUUUCUAGAGGAUAGGCGGAGAAGACGGAAUUCCACAAGUAGCGGUGAAAUGCGUAGAUAUGUGGAAGAACACCGGUGGCGAAGGCGGUUUUCUAGCUUAUUCCUGACGCUGAUGCGCGAAAGCAAGGGGAUCAAACAGG